GCCUAUUGGGGUCGAGGUGUGGACGAAUGGUGUGUGUGCAUGGCCUAUUGUGGUCAAGGUUUGGGGUAGUGAGCAUGAGUCACCGAUGUUGGUGACGUGCGAGAACGGAUUAUGUGUGUGUGUGGCCUAUUGAGGUCGAGGUGUGGAUGGGUUAUGUGUGUGCGUGGCCUAUUAGGGUCGAGGUGUAGAUGGAUGUUGUGUGUGCGUGCCCUAUUAUGGCCAAGGUGUGGGGUAGUGAGCAUGAGUCACCGAUGUUGGUGACGUGCGAGAACGGAUUGUGUGUGUGUGUAGCCUAUUGAGGUCGAGGUGUGGACGGAUUGUGUGUGUGCGUGGCUUAUUGGGAGCGAGGGGUGGACAGAUUAUAUGUGUGCGUGGCCUAUUAGAGUCGAGGUAUGGAGUACUGAGCAUGAGUCGCCGAUGUUGGGGACGCGUGAGAACGGUAUUGCGUGUGUACGUGGCCUACUAGGGUCGAGGUGUGGACGGAUUGCGUGUGUGCAUGGCCUAUUGGGGUCGAGAUGUGGACGAAUUGUGUGUGUACGUGGCCUAUUGGGGUCGAGGUAUGGAGUAGUGAGCAUGAGUUGCCGAUGUUGGUGACGCGUGAGAACGGUAUUGCGUGUGUGCGUGGCCUACUAGGGUCGAGGUGUGGACGGAUUGGGUGUGUGCGUGGCCUAUUGGGGUCGAGGUGUGGACGAAUUAUGUGUGUGCGUGGCCUAUUGGGGUCGAGGUGUGGAGGAGUGAGCAUGAGUCGCCGAUGUUGGUGACGAACGAGAAUGGUAUUGUGUGUGUGAGUGGCCAAUGGGGUCGAGAGGUAGAGAUGUGAGUAUGAGUCGCCGAUGUUGGUGACGUGUGGUAAUGGUAUUCGUGUGCGUGUGUGGCCUCUUGGGGUCGAGGUGGUGGAUAUGAGCCGCCGAUGUUGGUGACACGAGAUGGUGGUGUGUGUGCGUGGGUGGCCUAUUAGGGUGGAGUAGGAGAGAAGGGCGUACGAGUAGUUGAUAUUGGUGAUGAAUGUGAACAGGGGCGCUUAGGGUGUGACUUCGGCCGGGGAGUCACGUGGGAUAGGCACCCGAAUAGUCUACCAGGGUAGGGGGGGCUGGUGUUGUACUAGGGUAGGGUUGAGGCAGGAGGUAGGUGGUAUAGACAGGGUACUUAUGGGGGUACUGGAGUUGCUGUUGCUGUAUGUGUUAUUGAAUAGCUGGUCUUUCGGGGUAGGUAAAUAACAGUUAGUUGUAGGGUGGUUCUAAAGCAUGACUUGGGUAGUGUAAGAGAAAUGCAUAUAGAUAUACUAACUGUCUUGUCACUGCAUAUUAUACCUGCAACUUGGUUUUUAUCGUAUUAAGUUAUGUGAACUCACUUUUUGUUGUUUUCCAGAUGAAGUAAGGAUGGAGUCGGGAUCUGAGUUGCUGGGUACGGAGCUUAGUCUUUAGCACCA
rnacentral:lncRNA from 1 species